CACUGCGGCCCGAAAGAUGCUACUCGCCUCUAACCCUAAUUUUGAUCGAUCGCUUGAAAGCAUUUCGUUCAUCCUUUUCUGCAGCGGGUAUGACGCCUGCGAUUCCUUUAUCUCGAUCUCAUACUCUCUUUCUAUCUCUUGAGAUAAUCUGAUGCGUGUUGUUAUGGCUAUUUCGAGAAUCUUCUUCUAUGACUUGAAGUCAUGCAAAUGCUCUUACGUCGUCGAGCCAAGGCUACUGCGGUUCUGGGAUGCGAGCAACGUCAAACGCGGUGGUGAGCUGAUGUGGAUCGAUACGCUGCUUAUGGACGUGAAUAUUUAGUCUCUCUGUCCGGCCAGGUUACAUGGGGCUCUCCCUCUAACCCUAACUCCGCUCGAUCGAAGAAUUUGAUAUCGUCUCCCCUCUUCGUGCGGCCGCCAUGACGUCUGAGCUUCGAUAUCUGAAACGGCCUGAGUUAUGAAAUUCGCUAUCUAAUGUGUUUCUACCAUGCUUUGACUUAAAUCUUCAGGGCUCUCAUUCCUAAACAGUGGCUCGAUUCCAUUUUUCUUGUGGUGACGCUGACUAUCACCAUGAGACAGUUGAUAAUCUGAAAAUUGCUGCUGGCCACUGUAGGCAAUUUGUGGUGAUCCGUCUUCUUCGAUAAUGGAAGGCUCACAAUGUAAUAAAGGAGGGAUUUUAUAAUGGUAACAUGGUCUUGCUUGACGAGAAGGAUCCAUCACCACACAUAAGCUUAACACUUUCAAGAUCUAUUGAGGGGGAGCAUCAACCGUGACAUUGAUUUUCCGGAUGUUUUUGGUCAGGUGAUGAGUAUCAACCUUUUGUAACAAUGAAAGCCAGUCUAUUCAGCUUCUGAUGUUAACAAUACCAAUGGACAGGGAAACUACGGUUUAUGUCAGCAUUAUUUAUUUGAUAGCUAAUCUACUUCAUGAAAGGUAAGUAUUCUUGCGUGUUGAGCCAAAUGUGAUGAAUACAACCAACAUCUAUACGAAAUUAGUUGGAGAUGAACAUAAAUCAGCUCUUAUCUGUCAGUUUAAUUACAUAAAGUUGUCAGUUAAAAUCCUUGCCUACUGUCUUAUGCCAGGUCGCUUACUUCUGAAAGAAAUUUCAGAUUAUGCUUUUAUUUAAAUACUACAUUAAAAACACAUGUUAUGUAGAGCUCAGGAAGGCCUCUCUUCAGCUUCUGCCAAGUAUGGCAGGAUUAAGAAACUUGAAUCUGUCGCUCUCUCUGAGUGGUUCCUACAUAUUUUACUUAUUGUACAUAUCACCAUGAAUGAGACUAGACUCACAAUAGUUUUGUAGGUAGAGUGGUGAGGACCAUCCAAAUGAUGAUAUGACAGGGGCUGUUAAUCCCUCCAUGGACUCAAACUCAAUUGUAAACAAUAUUGGUCCAGAUAACACCAACCAGUGUGAUACUGCUGCAACAAUCGAAGGCUGUUCAUAAGUGUCUGAACCAAUUCCUCUGCAAAUUGAUCCACUGGUAAACACGAAGAGGAAACAACUGAUGGUGGCAAGGGUCCAAAUCUUAAGAAGCCCCCAAAUGCAUGAUCACUCCAACGAUGGAGACAAGCGAAAAAAAUCCCCAAUUCCAUUUCCGUUUCCUGGGUUUUUAUGCUUCACUCAGUAAUGUUGUUGUCUUUUUUAGUUAUCCAGUUCUGGUUUUCCUUAGUUUAAGUAUAAUUGGUACACCUGGUAAUUUUAGUAUUUAUGUUGUGGUCCUGAAUUUUUUUUAUUAACCAGAAUUUUGUUUUCAUAUUGUUCUGUUAUUAUUUUGGAAACAGUCAAAAUAUAUAUAGCAACAAUAAACAGAUUUAAUU